AGGAGACGCUGGCGGCGUGGAUUAGGCAUGCAAGUCGAACGGUAUCAUCCUUCGGGGUGAGAGAGUGGCGAACUGGUGAGUAACACGUAGGUUAUCUACCUCAAGACGGGACAACCCAGGGAAACUUGGGCUAAUACCGGAUGUGAGCAACUUUUAGUUGUUUGAAAGGUGGCGUAAGCUGUCGCUUGGGGAUGAGCCUGCGUCCUAUUAGUUAGUUGGUGAGGUAACGGCUCACCUAGGCAAUGAUAGGUAGGCGGCCUUAACGGGUGGUCGCCCACACUGGGAUUGAGAUACGGCCCAGACUCCUACGGGAGGCAGCAGUCGAGAAUAGUCUACAAUGGUCGGAAGACUGAUAGUGCGACGCCGCGUGAACGAUGAAUCCCUUCGGGGUGUAAAGUUCUUUUAUAUGUGAGCAGUGCUUCUUAUAUUAACAGUAUGGGGAGAGAGAUAUUAGCAUAUGAAUAAGCAACGGCUAACUCCGUG
rnacentral:rRNA from 1 species